GAUGAACGCUAGCGGCAGGCUUAACACAUGCAAGUCGAGGGGUAGAGGCUUUCGGGCCUUGAGGCCGGCGCACGGGUGCGUAACGCGUAUGCAAUCUGCCUUGUACUGGGGGAUAGCCUUCCGAAAGGGAGAUUAAUACCGCAUAACAUAAUUGAACGGCAUCGUUUGAUUAUCAAACUUCCAAGGGUUAAAGAUGGGCAUGCGUCCGAUUAGUUAGUUGGUGAGGUAACGGCUCACCAAGGCAUCGAUCGGUAGGGGAUCUGAGAGGAUGACCCCCACACUGGUACUGAGACACGGACCAGACUCCUACGGGAGGCAGCAGUAAGGAAUAUUGGUCAAUGGACGCAAGUCUGAACCAGCCAUGCCGCGUGCAGGAAGACGGUCCUCUGGAUUGUAAACUGCUUUUGUUAGGGAAGAAACCCUCUGAUGCGUCAGAGGCUGACGGUACCUAAAGAAUAAGAAUCGGCUAACUCCGUGCCAGCAGCCGCCGUAAGAC
rnacentral:rRNA from 1 species